ensembl:snRNA U6 U6 spliceosomal RNA
GUGCUUGCUUCGGCAGCACGUAUGCUAAAUUGGAGCAAUCAAGAGAAGAUUAGCAUGGCCUCUCUGCACAAGGAUGACACGCAAAUUUGUGAAGUGUUCCAUAUUAAA